GAAUCAACAAAAUGGAGAAGUAUUUUAUACAACUUAUAUGAUCUGCUAGUGAAUGAGAUAAGUCAUAUAGGAAGUAGAGGAAAGUAUUCUUCAGGAUUUCGUAAUAUUGCUGUCAAAGAAAAUUUGAUUGAAUUGAUGGCAGAUAUCUGUCACCAGGUUUUUAAUGAAGAUACCAGAUCCUUGGAGAUUUCUCAAUCUUAUACUACUACACAAAGAGAAUCUAGUGAUUACAGUGUACCUUGCAAAAGGAAGAAAAUAGAACUAGGCUGGGAAGUAAUAAAAGAUCACCUUCAGAAGUCACAGAAUGAUUUUGAUCUUGUGCCUUGGCUACAGAUUGCAACCCAGUUAAUAUCAAAGUAUCCUGCAAGUUUACCUAACUGUGAGCUGUCUCCAUUACUGAUGAUACUAUCUCAGCUUCUACCCCAACAGCGACAUGGGGAACGUACACCAUAUGUGUUACGAUGCCUUACGGAAGUUGCAUUGUGUCAAGACAAGAGGUCAAACCUAGAAAGCUCACAAAAGUCAGAUUUAUUAAAACUCUGGAAUAAAAUUUGGUGUAUUACCUUUCGUGGUAUAAGUUCUGAGCAAAUACAAGCUGAAAACUUUGGCUUACUUGGAGCCAUAAUUCAGGGUAGUUUAGUUGAGGUUGACAGAGAAUUCUGGAAGUUAUUUACUGGGUCAGCCUGCAGACCUUCAUGUCCUGCAGUAUGCUGUUUGACUUUGGCACUGACCACCAGUAUAGUUCCAGGAACGGUAAAAAUGGGAAUAGAGCAAAAUAUGUGUGAAGUAAAUAGAAGCUUUUCUUUAAAGGAAUCAAUAAUGAAAUGGCUCUUAUUCUAUCAGUUAGAGGGUGACUUAGAAAAUAGCACAGAAGUGCCUCCAAUUCUUCACAGUAAUUUUCCUCAUCUUGUACUGGAGAA
rnacentral:lncRNA from 1 species